GCUGUGGGGUCUGCCCUGCCAGGUUCCAAAGCCCAGGUCCUGGGACCAGGCUAAGCGCCCCCUGUAACUCACCGUAGGUGAAGUAGGCCACUUCCGGUGGAAGCGAGACGUUGUGCAGCGUUCCAUCCUGCACGUACUGGUCCACGUACAGCUGGGCCUCACUGGCCUUGAGGAAGGCCAUGAACCUCGCGGUGAAGGAGGCCACGAAGAUGGACAGCAUGCCGAAAUCCAGCUUCUUCUGAGGAUUCAGCUGCUGAAAAAGCCUAGAGUCAAAGAUGCUGCUGCCAGUGGUCAUUGGUGGUGGCUCUGUCGUCCAGAGGGAGGCUGCCUGGGUCUCAGGGCUGCAGCACAUGACAGUGAGGAGCUGAUUGUCUUCAGGCUUCGGGACUCUGCCCAAGGACUGCAGCCAGUUGUCCAGUUUCUUCUAGGUGCCCAGCCCUGGGCUAAGCAUCGUAUGGAUACCACCUGAUUCUUCAUAACAUCCUAAUUGAGAGCUACUGUAAUGAUCCCUAUUUUGAAGAUGAAACUCAUGUACAAAGUCGCUUGGUGAAACAUUCGGAGAGACAGAGGAUGCCCUUCAGACUCUGACUGUCCCACGGCGCAUGCCCAGGAGGAGGAGUGCGGUAGGCAACUAAGGGUACUGCUAUGAUGUAUGACCACCCACAGCGCAUGCUGGGGAGGAUACUAUGCCCAGGAGGAGGACUGCGGUAGGCAACCAAGGGUACUGCUAUGAUGUAUGACCACCGAAUGAAAUCACCGAGGAGACCAGAUGGCCCCUGUGGAGAGCAUGAAAGUUUCAUGAUCCCAGACCUUGUUUCAAAAUAACACGGAAUGAAGGAAAAGGAGAAGGGGGCAGAUUGGCCAUGGAUCCCUAAUUAUUCAAGAUGAGAGACAGACAUAUGGAUUCAUUCUGCUCCUCUCUUGAGUUUUAUAUUUUUAAAAACUAUCUGUAAUAAACAUUCCGCAAGUUUCUCCCCUCUA